rfam:Triticum aestivum genome assembly, contig: Triticum_aestivum_CS42_TGACv1_scaffold_220845_3B
CAAAUACUCCCUCCGUCCGGAAAUACUUGUCAUCAAAAUGGAUAAAAGGAAAUGUAUCUAGACGUAUUUUAGUUUUAGAUACAUCUCUUUUUAUCCAUUUUGAUGAUAAGUAUUUUCGGACGGAGGGAGUAGAAA